rnacentral:rRNA from 1 species
GACGUAGGGCGCGAGCGUUGUUCGGAAUUACUGGGCGUAAAGGGCUCGUAGGUGGCCAACUAAGUCAGACGUGAAAUCCCUCGGCUUAACCGGGGAACUGCGUCUGAUACUGGAUGGCUUGAGUUUGGGAGAGGGACGCGGAAUUCCAGGUGUAGCGGUGAAAUGCGUAGAUAUCUGGAGGAACACCGGUGGCGAAGGCGGCGUCCUGGACCAACACUGACACUGAGGCACGAAAGCGUGGGUAGCAAACAGG